rnacentral:rRNA from 1 species
ACGGGGAGCGACCACAACAGGUGGAGCCUGCGGUUUAAUCGGACUUCAACGCCGGGAAACUCACCAGAUAAGACAGCUGAAUGAUAGUCGGGCUGAAGACUCUACUUGACUAGCUGAGAGGAGGUGCAUGGCCGUCGUCAGUUCGUACUGUGAAGCAUCCUGUUAAGUCAGGCAACGAGCGAGACCCACGCCAACAGUUGCCAGCUCGUCCUCCGGGAUGGUGGGGACACUGUUGGGACCGCUACUGCUAAAGAGAGGAAGGAAUGGGCAACGGUAGGUCAGCAUGCCCCGAAUUAUCUGGGCUACACGCGGGCUACAAUGGGUGGGACAAUGGGUAUCGACACCGAAAGGUGAAGGCAAUACUCCUAAACCCAUCCGUAGUUCGGAUUGUGGGCUGCAACUCGCCCACAUGAAGCUGGAAUCUGUAGUAAUCGUGUCUCAAAAUGGCACGGUGAAUAUGUCCCUGCUCCUU